rnacentral:rRNA from 1 species
GUUAAGCGACUAAGCGUACACGGUGGAUGCCCUGGCAGUCAGAGGCGAUGAAGGACGUGCUAAUCUGCGAAAAGCGCCGGCGAGGUGAUAUGAACCUUUGACCCGGCGAUGUCCGAAUGGGGAAACCCAGUGCAAUUCGUUGCACUAUCGUUAACUGAAUACAUAGGUUAACGAGGCGAACCGGGGGAACUGAAACAUCUAAGUACCCCGAGGAAAAGAAAUCAACCGAGAUUCCCCCAGUAGCGGCGAGCGAACGGGGAGCAGCCCAGAGUCUGAAUCAGCUUGUGUGUUAGUGGAAGCGUCUGGAAAGUCGCACGGUACAGGGUGACAGUCCCGUACACGAAAGCACACAGGCUGUGAACUCGAAGAGUAGGGCGGGACACGUGGUAUCCUGUCUGAAUAUGGGGGGACCAUCCUCCAAGGCUAAAUACUCCUGACUGACCGAUAGUGAACCAGUACCGUGAGGGAAAGGCGAAAAGAACCCCGGCGAGGGGAGUGAAAAAGAACCUGAAACCGUGUACGUACAAGCAGUGGGAGCACCUUCGUGGUGUGACUGCGUACCUUUUGUAUAAUGGGUCAGCGACUUAUAUUCUGUAGCAAGGUUAACCGUAUAGGGGAGCCGAAGGGAAACCGAGUCUUAACUGGGCGUUAAGUUGCAGGGUAUAGACCCGAAACCCGGUGAUCUAGCCAUGGGCAGGUUGAAGGUUGGGUAACACUAACUGGAGGACCGAACCGACUAAUGUUGAAAAAUUAGCGGAUGACUUGUGGCUGGGGGUGAAAGGCCAAUCAAACCGGGAGAUAGCUGGUUCUCCCCGAAAGCUAUUUAGGUAGCGCCUCGUGAACUCAUCUUCGGGGGUAGAGCACUGUUUCGGCUAGGGGGCCAUCCCGGCUUACCAACCCGAUGCAAACUACGAAUACCGAAGAAUGUUAUCACGGGAGACACACGGCGGGUGCUAACGUCCGUCGUGAAGAGGGAAACAACCCAGACCGCCAGCUAAGGUCCCAAAGUCAUGGUUAAGUGGGAAACGAUGUGGGAAGGCACAGACAGCCAGGAUGUUGGCUUAGAAGCAGCCAUCAUUUAAAGAAAGCGUAAUAGCUCACUGGUCGAGUCGGCCUGCGCGGAAGAUGUAACGGGGCUAAACCAUGCACCGAAGCUGCGGCAGCGACGCGUAUGCGUUGUUGGGUAGGGGAGCGUUCUGUAAGCCGUUGAAGGUGUGCUGUGAGGCAUGCUGGAGGUAUCAGAAGUGCGAAUGCUGACAUAAGUAACGAUAAAGCGGGUGAAAAGCCCGCUCGCCGGAAGACCAAGGGUUCCUGUCCAACGUUAAUCGGGGCAGGGUGAGUCGACCCCUAAGGCGAGGCCGAAAGGCGUAGUCGAUGGGAAACAGGUUAAUAUUCCUGUACUUGGUGUUACUGCGAAGGGGGGACGGAGAAGGCUAUGUUAGCCGGGCGACGGUUGUCCCGGUUUAAGCAUGUAGGCGGAGGU